GUAAAAAGCAGGAGCAGGGAAUCCCCUGUUUUUGAAAAAUAAGAAGUUGAAAAGAAUCAGGAAUUGUGCUUUGUUUCCCAUGUGUGUGGAAUUGUACUGUCAAUUUGGUUCUCAUAGUUCAAACCAUCAGACAUUCCUAGAUCUCCAAGUUCAUUAGCAAACAAAGCAUGAAGCAAAAAAGUAUGGCCCACCUUUUUCCAAUUUGCAACCCUCAUUUUAAGACAGCCCUUGGAUUCUUUUGCAUGUCAAACACAUAAAUACACAUAAAUACGACUUGACCUGAAAAAGAAAGGACCAACUAUUCAAUGAUGGUGAACUACAAA